GGCGUAGCGGUGGUUGUAGAAGAGUUAAGAAGGGAAUCAUGACGAGGGAGUAGGUGGUGCGGGAAGGGGGCGGAUGUAGUCAGGCCGUGGUUGUUACGGCGCGGGCGGUACGGUAUCAGUGCGAGGCCGGCUAUCAGCCGUCUAACGUCAAAGUCAAUGCUAAGGAAGAACGAUGCAAUAAAUGAAAAUCAGACUUGACUGAUACGUCUAAGGAGGAAUACGUCGUCGAAGUUGCAAGUGGAUUGAGGAAGUCAAAUGGAAUAGGGGAUAAAAGUUCAAAGAAAAGAAACCGGAAAGGAUUCGUGCAAAAUAAUUAAAAGGAGAGAAAGAGAAAGAAGAAAAGUAGAGGUGUAAUUUUGAGUUCCGGUUGGUGCUCGAGCGACCUCUUCUCUUAUCUUGUGGAGUUUUCUAAAGAGAAAGAGCGAGUGGGAGAGAUAGAUAAACGAGUGAGAGAGAAAGAGAGAGAGAGAGAGUGAAAGAGAGAGAGAGAGAGAGGGAAAGAAAGGGUGAAAGAGAGAGAGAGAGUAUGAGCGAGGGAGAAGGGGUAUGGAAGGAUAUGUCAGUUGAUGAUUUUCGAUCGAUACGCUCAACAUCUCAAAGAUCUGUAUCCGCCUUUUAAAGACUCAAAAUCUAACGUUUUGUAAUCGUUCUUUCCUCGAGGGAAUAGUGCAUCGAAAAUGGAGUUAGACGAGGGUACAAUCGUGGAACGAAGGAACGGAUAUCAAACGGAGGAAUGAAAUUGAUCGAUAGAACUUAGAUACUAUUGUUAUAUAACAGUGCAAAUUAGUACUAGAGGAAGAAAAA
rnacentral:lncRNA from 1 species